rnacentral:rRNA from 1 species
GCACCUGAAAUCAAGUAAGAUGACCCGCUGGACUUAAGCAUAUUACUAAGCGGAGGAAAAGAAAUUAACAAAGAUUGCCUUAGUAAGGGCGACUGAACCGGCAAUAGCUCGAAAUUGGAAUCGAGGAUUCAAAGAAUCUUCGAAUUGUAAUCAGGUCCGCCUAAAUACGAGAAAUCGCUCAAGCACGUCGAAACGUGCGCCAGAGAGGGUGAAAGCCCCGUACAGCUUUUUCUCGAGUAAGGGGGAUUAAAAAAGAGUCGGGUUGCUUGGAACUGCAGCCCUAAGCGGGAGAUAUGAAUCUUCCAAAGCUAAAUAUGGAUGGGAGACCGAUAGCGAACAAGUACUGUGAAGGAAGAUGAAAAGGACUUUGAAAAGAGAGUGAAA